AGGGGGGACGGAGAAGGCUAUGUUGGCCGGGCGACGGUUGUCCCGGUUUAAGCGUGUAGGCUGGUUUUCCAGGCAAAUCCGGAAAAUCAAGGCUGAGGCGUGAUGACGAGGCACUACGGUGCUGAAGCGACAAAUGCCCUGCUUCCAGGAAAAGCCUCUAAGCAUCAGGUAACAUCAAAUCGUACCCCAAACCGACACAGGUGGUCAGGUAGAGAAUACCAAGGCGCUUGAGAGAACUCGGGUGAAGGAACUAGGCAAAAUGGUGCCGUAACUUCGGGAGAAGGCACGCUGAUAUGUAGGUGAAGCGACUUGCUCGUGGAGCUGAAAUCAGUCGAAGAUACCAGCUGGCUGCAACUGUUUAUUAAAAACACAGCACUGUGCAAACACGAAAGUGGACGUAUACGGUGUGACGCCUGCCCGGUGCCGGAAGGUUAAUUGAUGGGGUUAGCGGUAACGCGAAGCUCUUGAUCGAAGCCCCGGUAAACGGCGGCCGUAACUAUAACGGUCCUAAGGUAGCGAAAUUCCUUGUCGGGUAAGUUCCGACCUGCACGAAUGGCGUAAUGAUGGCCAGGCUGUCUCCACCCGAGACUCAGUGAAAUUGAACUCGCUGUGAAGAUGCAGUGUACCCGCGGCAAGACGGAAAGACCCCGUGAACCUUUACUAUAGCUUGACACUGAACAUUGAGCCUUGAUGUGUAGGAUAGGUGGGAGGCUUUGAAGUGUGGACGCCAGUCUGCAUGGAGCCGACCUUGAAAUACCACCCUUUAAUGUUUGAUGUUCUAACGUGGGCCCCUUACCGGGGUUGCGGACAGUGUCUGGUGGGUAGUUUGACUGGGGCGGUCUCCUCCUAAAGAGUAACGGAGGAGCACGAAGGUUGGCUAAUCCUGGUCGGACAUCAGGAGGUUAGUGCAAUGGCAUAAGCCAGCUUGACUGCGAGCGUGACGGCGCGAGCAGGUGCGAAAGCAGGUCAUAGUGAUCCGGUGGUUCUGAAUGGAAGGGCCAUCGCUCAACGGAUAAAAGGUACUCCGGGGAUAACAGGCUGAUACCGCCCAAGAGUUCAUAUCGACGGCGGUGUUUGGCACCUCGAUGUCGGCUCAUCACAUCCUGGGGCUGAAGUAGGUCCCAAGGGUAUGGCUGUUCGCCAUUUAAAGUGGUACGCGAGCUGGGUUUAGAACGUCGUGAGACAGUUCGGUCCCUAUCUGCCGUGGGCGCUGGAGAACUGAGGGGGGCUGCUCCUAGUACGAGAGGACCGGAGUGGACGCAUCACUGGUGUUCGGGUUGUCAUGCCAAUGGCACUGCCCGGUAGCUAAAUGCGGAAGAGAUAAGUGCUGAAAGCAUCUAAGCACGAAACUUGCCCCGAGAUGAGUUCUCCCUGACUCCUUGAGAGUCCUGAAGGAACGUUGAAGACGACGACGUUGAUAGGCCGGGUGUGUAAGCGCAGCGAUGCGUUGAGCUAACCGGUACUAAUGAACCGUGAGGCUUAACCUUACAACGCCGAAG
rnacentral:rRNA from 1 species